UUCCAUCUGCUCGCGAUAUAUUUUGGGUUCCAAUUUUUUCAGGAGAGGAGGAAAGACGAGCGUGGGAGAAGCGGCGGCUUACAGGAGCCUCCAAGUCUGAGCUCCCGAUGGCGGGUGUGAUCGGGCGGCGCACCCUCCUUCGUCGGGCCGUGGAGCACCUCCAGGCGGCAAGCUACUUCAGUACAGUCAAAUGCUCCCAUGCUGAAGCUAAAGUAAACUGGUCAGUGAAGCGGACUCUUUCAUCCAGUUCAUUCAACAAGCACAAGAUUUCAUCUGAAACUGAAAUGCCACUUCGGUGAAUUAGCGUAUUAGAGCAUGCUGCUGUUUUAAAGAAAUCAUUGAACACUAUGAUGGGGUUAACUAGUUUUAUUGGCCUUGGAUGGAUCUAUAUAGCAAUCAAUAUGUAUCCAGAUGGCAGCGCAAGUUGCAGUAACUGCCAUUGCCAUGGUUCAAAACCUGAGGUUCAACGAAAUUAGGAGCUGCAAAUACUAUGGGGCGGCCAUUGUUUGUUUUAUUUGCCGAAACUCUUCUACUCUUGCUUGUGAGAGGAACUCUAACCUGCUGUACUCCUAGAAGACACCUAGAAUGUCGUACUGUAACUUAAGACUCUUAAAUUUUAUGCUCUGUUUUCUGAUGCAUGCUUGAUAUAAUAUUAAUUGGGAAAUUUUAUGCUCAUUCCGACCUGGAGCUCGUACAUUUGAUUGCUCACUCGCUAGUGAGUCCGACAAGAACAUGCUUGUCCUGGUCUCACUGAUGGCUCGCUAGAGGCCAGGGUGAACACAUGGAGCUCCAUGCUGUACUGGUGAAGUCCAAUAUAUGCCAGAACAUUGACGGCCAAAGGAUUAAAGCAUUUCAUGAGUUACGGCAGAUUAAUUGCAGUAUGUGCCAAAAAGGAGGGUUCAUAAUAGUCAGACAUGUCCUGAGAGGAGAGGAAGUAGAUGACCAGGUGUAUUGGAGUAUGAGUGGAGUAUAUGUUCUCUGGUUCCUUAAACUAACUAAUUCUGAGUUGCUGGAUAUAAGAUCACAAAUCACAGUUACAUCUUACAUGACAUGCCUCAUAAUUUUCCAUUUGAAGUACUUGAUAUUUGAUGCAUGCCUGGUCAGCAUGAAUAAAGGGAUUGAUCACAUACUAAGGAUAGUUUGAUACUAUACUAGACAAAUAGACUUGUAGUAGUAAACUUGCUUUGUGUACAAUGUUUUUUUUUUGAAUAAAGGUGUACAAUGCUUUGAAAGUCACAGAUCAUAUCACAGUUCGCGAACAUUUGGGGCUUCAUACUUGAUAUUUGUUCUGGUACAUGCUACUUAACUUGAUACAUAUGGGAUCAUUGAUG